UACAACCAUUUUAUCUGGAGAAGCACCACCACUGGACGUCCAUCUACUUCAGGCACGAAUUCCUACCCAUAUUCGCCACUAGGUGAUCUACGCUCCAGAACCCACAAUUUCGUUUCGCCUUCAAAUGGAGUUAGAGAGCCUAAAUCUCAAUCUGCCUCUUACGAUAUAGCGCCUACCGGUCGGUCGUCAGCCGCAGCCAGCAAUAACUUGAAAGGGGUUAUUCCUGACUACGUUGCCCAGGGUGCACCACGGGGAGGUCACCGACAUAGCACCCCAAAAAUGAUCGAACAUGUCGCUUUCGAUAAAUAUUAAGUAGUAGAAACGUUGAUAAAAAUUCUUAAUAUCAUAAUUAUAUAAAUAAGGGCUGUAUUUAGAAUAACACCAAUUUCCCCAUCAAAAAACAUCAUAAUGUAAUAAAUAAACUAUAAGCGUGUUUGAUUGUUAUUUUAAAUUAAUAAAGCUAAUAAUAUUAAAAUAAAAAUAUAAAGCUAUGUCAAAAACAUUGUUACGAAAUGUUGUGAAUGCAUGCAAUGCAACGGAGAAAUCGUUGCGUAGCUAAAAUACAUGCGUAAGCUACAAAAGUCAACGAUAUGACCGUGGUAAAUAAGCGUUGACCAUUACUAGGACAGCUGAAGCAAACUACUUCUUACUACAGCCCAAGCAUCAAAAUACGUAACUUGAGAUUCGAUCGGUCAUCAACCAUAGCCAGCAAGUAGUCGAAGAUAUUGCGGAAGAUACCAGAAGCGCGCUAGGAUGAACGAAGAGGUGAUCACCAACAGGGCAUCCCAAAAAAUAUUAACGUCUGUACAAAAGAACAAGAAAUUAUCGUAAACGACAUUUAACAUAAAACAAAAAGAAACGAUCGCAUAAAAACUAGUAGUAUCAUAUAAAGUUUAACUUACGUUAUUGAAAAAAAUGUAUAAAGGAAAAAGAAUAGCUUACUUUCAAGCUUAGAAAGAACAAAAUAAUUUAACAAUCAGGCAAAUGAAAAUUGCACAACUAAGCAAACAAAAAUAAACUUACGAAAUAAACAUGAAGUCAUGUUAAAUAAAAAAAGAUAACUCACCGUCUCAAAAAAGUCUGCGGAAAGGAACUAAAAAAUUUCACAUUCAAAAAAAAAAAACCGAAACGAAAGUAAACUCAUGAAAUAAACCUGAAAUACACACACAAAAUAUAAUAGUUUAAAUUUAACUAACUCUCCAAUUUCGACAGAAAUUCUUGUGUAUCCUAGCCGGCAGAUAAGUCAGCAGAAAGGAGCCAAGAAAUUUCACAUUCAAGCAAUCGAAAUAAAACCACAAAAUAAAAACUUUAAUGCACAUUACAUCAAUAAGUUAAAAUUAACUAUUCGUUUAAUUUGGACAGAAAUUUUUGAACAUCCUUAGCGGAACGUAAAGAAGUCAAAAUAAAGCAAAUGGAAAUAAACACACGAAAAAACGCGGAGAACGUAAAUAACAACAAACAAACGUAGUUUUGUUUUCAACAGAAAUUUUCGUACAUCCAUGGCGUUAGAAAAGUCUGCAUACUGGAAUUAAGAAAUUUAACAAUCUUGUCAUUUAAAACUAAAUACCCAAAAGCACCCAAAAAAACAUAUAAUUAUGUAUACGAUGAAAAAUUUAAAUAAACAUACAGAACGUAUAAAUGUUACAGUCAAGCAAUAGAUAAUAAACACACAGGAAAAAAAAUAUAAAAUAAUCAUACUUUAAUAAAAUAUAUCGAAUAAACGUACCUUUCGGUUUAAAUUGAGCAUUUUGAACAUCCGUGACGGCAGAAAAGUCUGUUGACAGUAACGUAGAAAUUUCACAAUCACGCAAACGAUAAUAAACACACGGAAAAAAAACUUGAAAUAGGCAUAUUAAUUUAAAUACUUUUGAAUAAGCUUAUCUUUCGGCUUAAAAUAAAUUUUUUAAACUUCCCUAAUGGCAGAAACGACUGCUGACAGGUGCGUAGAAAUUUAACAAUCAAUAAAUCGAUAAUAAACACACGGAAGAAAUGUGAAAUAAGCAUAGUUAUAUAAAGUAUAAAUCGAUAAUAAUCCUACGAAAAAAUAAAAAGGAAAUAAGCAUUAUUUUAUAAAGUAAGUUGACUAAACGUACCUUUCGUUUAAAAUAGGCAUUUUUGAUCAUCCCUGACGGCAGAAAAGUCUACUGAGAGGAACGUAGAAAUUUCACAAUCAAACAAUCGAUAAUAAAAAGCGAAAAAAAAAAACUUGAAAUAGGCGCAGUAAUUUAAAUACUUUUGAAUAAGCGUACCUUUCGGUUUAAAUUUGAUUAUUUUGAACCACCUUGACGGCAGAAAAGUCUGCUGACAGGAACGUAGAAAUCGAUAAUAAACAACGGAAAAGAACAUGAAAUAAGCAUUGUUUUAUAAAGUAUGUUGAACAAACGUACCUUUCGGUUUAAAUUGAAGUUGUUGAAUUUCCUUGACGGCAGAAAAGUCUGCUGACUAGAACGUAGAAAUUUUACAAUCAAGUAAUCGAAAAUAAUCACACGUUCAAAAAAAAAAGUGAAAUAACCAUACUUAGUUAAAUGUUUCACACGCGGAAAAAAUGUGAAAUAACCAUAGUUAUACAAAGUGUUUUGAAUAAACGUACCUUUCGGUUUAAAUUGAAUAUUUUGAACAUCCUUGACGGCAGAAAAGUCUGCUGACAGGAAUGUAGAAAUUUCACAACUAAGCGAUCGAUAACAAACACACGGAAAAAUUGUGAAACAAGCAUAAUUAUAUAAAGUAUGUUGAAUAAACGUACGUUUCGGAUAAAUUGAACAUUUUGAAUAUCCUUGACGGCAGGAAAGCCUGCUGACAGGAACGUAGAAAUCGAUAAUAACCAAACAAAAAAAAAAUAGCCUGAAAUAAGCACAGUUAUAAAAUAUAUGUUAAAUUAAUGUACCUUUCGGUUUUAAUAUAAACAUUAUUGUACAUUAUUGAUGGCAGAGUAGUCUGCAGACAGGAACGUAGAAAAUUCACAAACAAUAAAUUGAUAAUAAACCCACGAAAAAGAUGAACUAAGCAUUGUUUUAUAAAAUAUGUUGAAUAAACGUACCUUUCAGAUAAAUUGAAAAUUUUGAAUAACCUCGAUGGCAAUAAAGUUUGCUGACGGGAACGUAGAAAUUUCAUAAUCAAAAAAUAAAUAAUAAACACACGGAAAAUACGUGAAUUAAGUAAAGUUAUAUAAAUUAUGUUGAAUAAACAUACCUUUCGGAUUAAAUUGAAGUUGUUGAAUUUCCUUGACGGCAGGAAAGUCAGCUGACAGGAACGUAGGAAUCGGUAGUAAACACACGGAAAGGAACGUGAAAUAAGCACAGUUAUUUAAAUGUUGUUGUAUAAGGGUACCUUUCGUUUUAAAUUGAAUAUUUUGAACAUCCCCGACUGCAGAUAAAUCUGCUGACAGAAAGUUAGAAAUAUGAAAAUCGAGCAAUUGAUAAUAAACACACAAAAAAAACAUGAAAUAAGUAUUAUUUUAUAAAGUAUUUUGACUACACGUACCUUUCGUUAAAAUAGACAUUUUUAAUGAUCCCUGACGGUAGAAAAGUCUGCUGACAGGAACGUAGAAAUUUCACAAUCAAACAAUCGAUAAUAAAAAGCGAAAAAAAAAAAACUGAAAAUAGGCGCAGUAAUUUAAAUACUUUUGAAUAAGAGUACCUCUCGGUUUAAAUUUGAUUAUUUUGAACCACCACCAACCACAAUCAAGCAAUCGAAGAUAAACACACGUUCGAAAAAAAGUGAAAUAAGCAUAGUUAUUUAAAUGUUGAUGAUUAAACGUAUCUUUCAGUUAAAAUAGAAAUUUUUGAUCAUCCCUGACGGCAGUAAAGUCUGUUGACAGGAACGUAGAAAUUUCACAAUCACGAAAUCGAUAAUAAAUCCACAAAAAAAAGAUGAAAUAAGCAUUGUUUUAUAAAGUAUGUUGAUUAAACGUACCUUUCGGCUUAAAUUGAAAUUGUUGAAUUUCCUUGACGGCAGAAAAGUCUGCUGACAGGAACGUAGAAAUUUCACAAUCAAGCAAUCGAAAAUAAACGCUCGUGCAAAAACAGUGAAAUAAGCAAAGUUAUUUCAAUGUUGUUGAUCAAACGAACCUUUCGGUUUGAAUAGAAAUUUUUGAUCUUCUGUGACGGCAGAACAGUCGCUGACAGGAACGUAAAAAUUUCACAAUUAAGUAAUCGAUAAUAAACACACGAAAAAAACAUAAAAUUAACGUUGUUUUAUAAAGUAUGUUGAAUAAACGUACCUUUCGGUUUAAAUUAAAGUUGUUGAAUUUCCUUGACGGCAGAAAAGUCUGCUGACUAGAGCGUAGAAAUUUCAUAAUCAAGUAAUCGAAAAUAAUCAUAUGUUCGAAAAAAAGGAAAAUAAUUUUAGUUAGUUAAAUGUUGUUUAUUAAAUGUAUCUUUCGUUUUCAAUAGAAAUUUUUAAACAUCCUUGACGGCAGGAAAGUCUGCUGACAGGAACGUAACAAUUUCAUAAUCAAGCAAUCGAUAAUAAACAUUCGGAAAAAACGUGAUAUAACCAUAUUAUAUAAAGAAUGUUGAAUAAACGUACCUUUCGGUUUCUAUAGAAAUUUCUGGUCAUCCCUGACGACAGAAAAGUCUGCUGACAAGAACGCAGAAAUUUCACAAUCCAAAAAAUCGAUAAUAAACACACAGAAAAUAAGCAAUGUUAUAUAAAUAAUGUUGAAUAAACGUACCUUUCAAAUUUUUGAUCAUCCCUGACGACAGAAAAGUCUGCUGACAAGAACGCAGAAUUUCACAAUUCAAAAAAUCGAUAAUAAACACACAGAAAAUAAGCAAUGUUAUAUAAAUUAUGUUGAAUAAACGUACCUUUCAGAUAAAUUGAACAUUUUGAACAUGCUUGAUGGCAAAAAAGUCUACUGACAGGAACGUAGAAAUUUCACAAUCGAAACAUCGAUUAUAAACACACGGAAAAUACGCGAAUUAAGCAAAGAUAUAAAAAUUGUGUUGAAUAACGUACCUUUAGGUUUAAAUUGAAAUUGUUGAAUUUCCUUGAUAGCAGAAAAUUCUGCUGACAGGAACGUAGGAAUCGAUAAUAAACACACGGAAAAGAACGUGAAAUAAAGGUACCUUUCGGUUUUAAUUGAAUAUUGUGAACAUCUCUGACUGCAGAAAAGUCUGUUGACAGAAACGUAGAAAUAUGGCAAUCGAGCAAUCGAUAAUAUACGACACACGAAAUAAAACAUGAAAUUAGCAUUGAUAUAUAGAGUAUGUUGAAUAAACGUACCUUUCGGUUUCAACAGAUAUUUUUGAUCAUCCCUGACGUCAGAAAAGUCUGCUGACAGGCACGUAAAAAUUUCACAAUCGAGCAAUCGAAAAUAAACGUACGGAAAAAAACAUGAAAUGAGCAUUUUUGUAUAAAGUAUGUUUUAUAUACGUACCUCUCAGUUUAAAUUGAAAUGGUUGAAUUUACUUGAUGGCAGAAAAGUCUGCUGACAGGAGCGUAGAAAUUUCACAAUCAAAAAAUCGAUAAUAAACACACGGAAAAUACGUGAAUUAAGCAAAGUUAUAUAAAGUAUGUUGAAUAAACGUACCUUUCGGUUUAAAUUGAAAUUGUUAAAUUUCCUUGACGGCAGAAAAGUCUGCUGACUAGAGCGUAGAAACUUCACAAUUAAGUAAUCGAAAAUAAACAUAUGUUAAAAAAAAAAAAAUAACCAUAGUAAUUUAAAUAUUGUUGAUUAAACGUUCCUUUCGGUUUAAAUUGAAUAUUUUGAACAUCCUUGACGGCAGAAAAGUCUGUUGUCAGGAUCGUAGAAAUUUCAUAAUCGAGUAAUCGAUAAUAAACACACGAAAUAAAACUUGAAAUAAGCUUAGUUAUAUAAAUGUUGUUGAAUAAACGUACCUUUCUUACCUUGACUUAAAUUGAAAAUUUUGUACAUCCUUGACGGCAGACAAGUCUGCUGACAGGAACUUAGAAAAUUCACACUCAAGAAAUAGAUAAUAAACACACGUUCAAAAAAAAAAAAAAAAAACGUGAAAAGAGCAUAGUUAUUUAAAUGUUGGUGAAUAAACGUAGAUUUCGGCUUAAAUUGAAUAUUUUGAACAUCCUAAACGGUAGAAAAGUCUGCUGACAGGAACGUAGAAAUUUCACAAUCAAUCAAUGGAUAAUAAAUACAUGAAAAGACAUAAAAUAAGCAUAGUUAUUUCAAUGUUGUUUGAUGAACGUACCUUCGGCUAAAUUGAAUAUUUUGAUCAUCCCUGACGGCAGAACAGACUGCUGACAGGAACGUAGAAAUUUCACAAUCAAGCAAUUUGGGGAGUGUGCGGAUCACGUCGGGGUCAUCAGUUUGGAGAACAGGGUGUAAAGUUCUUCAUGCCCCAUUUAAAAGGUAGGAUCCUCCGACCAGACGGAAUUGCGUCUGGCGGGCCAACGCCCCGACGGUUGUUGUCGGAUUCUUGUAUUAUAUACUCAAUCACUUUGAUAACUUUGAGAGCGCGAUGUAGCAUACGUCAGUUUUCUCUAAUUACGUAGUUAGUAUAUUGCGCAAUACAUGUCGCCACACAAUCAAUAAAAAACACACGAAAAAAAAAAAACAUGAAAUAAGCAUAUUUAUUUGAAUGCUAUUGAAUAAACGUAACUUUCGGUAUGAAUCGAAAAUUUUUAACAUCCUUGACGGCAGAAAUUCUGCUGAUAGUAACGUAGAAAUUUCACAAUCAAGCAAUCGAUAAUAAUCACACGAAAAAAUCGUGAAAUAAGCACAGUUAUAUAAAGUAUGUUGAAAAAACGUACCUUUAGGAUUAAAUUAAAUAUUUUGAACAUCCUUAAUGACAGAAGUCUGCUGACAGGAACCUAGAAAUUUCACAAUCAAGCAAUCGAUAAUAAACACACGGAAAAAAAACUUGAAAUAAGCAUAAUAAUUUAAAUACUUUUGAAUGAGCGUACCUUUCGACUUAAAUUAAAAAUUUUAAACAUCCUUGAUGGCAGAAACGACUGCUGACAGGAACAUAGAAAUUUCACAAUCAAGUGAUCGAUAAUAAACACACGAAAGAAACAUGAAAUAAGCAUAAAUAUGUAAAUGUUGUUGAAUAAGCGUACCUAUCGGUUUAAAUUAAAUAUUUUUAACAUCCUUGACGGCAGAAAAGUCUGCUGAUAGGAACGUAGAAUCUUCACAAUCAAGCAAUCGACAAUAAACACACGUUCAAAAAAAGAACGGAAAAAGCAUAGAUAUUUAAAUGUUGUUGAAUAAACGUACCUUUCGGCUAAAAUUGAAUAUUUUGAACAUCCUUAACGGCAGAAAAGACUGCUGACAGGAACGUAGAAAUUUCACA